rnacentral:rRNA from 1 species
UGGGGAAUUUUGGACAAUGGGGGGAAACCCUGAUCCAGCCAUCCCGCGUGUGCGAUGAAGGCCUUCGGGUUGUAAAGCACUUUUGGCAGGAAAGAAACGUCGCGGGUUAAUACCCCGCGAAACUGACGGUACCUGCAGAAUAAGCACCGGCUAACUACGUGCCAGCAGCCGCGGUAAUACGUAGGGUGCAAGCGUUAAUCGGAAUUACUGGGCGUAAAGCGUGCGCAGGCGGUUCGGAAAGAAAGAUGUGAAAUCCCAGAGCUUAACUUUGGAACUGCAUUUUUUAACUACCGGGCUAGAGUGUGUCAGAGGGAGGUGGAAUUCCGCGUGUAGCAGUGAAAUGCGUAGAUAUGCGGAGGAACACCGAUGGCGAAGGCAGCCUCCUGGGGAUAACACUGACGCUCAUGCACGAAAGCGUGGGGGAGCAAACAGGAUUAGAUACCCUGGUAGUCCACGCCCUAAACGAUGUCAACUAGCUGUUGGGGGCCUUCGGGCCUUGGUAGCGCAGCUAACGCGUGAAGUUGACCGCCU